AUAUAUACUAUCAGGAGAAGGAACGGAAAAAAAGGUAAGAAGAAGGGAUGCGUGUGUAUGACAAUAUACGCGAUCGCGAUUUAUUUGUUUCUUCUGACGAAAUAAUCAACAGUCUGAUAUUAUUAAGAUAUUUAAAAAACUUGCGGAAUUUCAGUUUCAAGUAUGUCAUUUUAUAUGAUAGUUAAAGGUGUUUAUGCAGGGCAAGAAAAAAAGUACCUCUGUCAUUUUAUAGAUGAACUUGAUUUAGAGCUUCGAGAAUCUUUUCAUGAAAAAUUUAAAAUAACUCUGCGAACUAAUGAAAUACUCGAAAAUAAUUUGAGACUAUAUCAAAUUCCAAUGUGUAAAGUAUUGAAUUUUUUUGGUAAAAACGGCUAUCGCGUUGUCUCUUCUACGUACACCAAAGAAUAUGUUAAUAAAAAUGAGUCACAACCUGGUAUAAUAUGGACAUUGGAAAAAAGAAUUUAAUAAUAUCACUAUUUGAAUCAUAACAAAUUACCAUAAGUGAAAAUGUCUCAAUUCUUUAUAUUACACUUUAAUUUUUAUGUUACUUACCAUUACUAUAUGGAUAAUCACAUCAAAUAAAAUAAUAUGAACAUGUAAUUUGAAAAAUAAAUUUGUUAUUGAUUCAAUUCUAAUAAGAAACAAAUAAAAGUAUUUCACCUUGAUUUAAAAAAAUUUCCACGUUCAAAUUUUCCCACAAGAAAAUUCAGGUUUUAAAAAUGACUGUUUCCGGCAAUUUUAGCCCUCGUGGUCGCAGUGGUAUUUUAGUUUUCCAUCUUCAAAUGCACUCAAUCGUUUAAAGUUUCUCGUACAGUGUAGGUCAAUUUUCUUGAGAUUUUUCAUCUGAAAAUUAAGACAAGAAAAAUGUCUAAUAAUGGGAUUGAUCGAAGCAGUGACGCUUACAUAUGGAUUCAAGGAAACAUUCGUGGAGUUGGAUGUUUUAUAUUCGGAGCAACUUCUAGAAUAAAAGGGAUUUUACGAAAUAACUUCAGAAUAGAAGAUUCGACGAAUGGUGAUCAUAUUGCUGCGGCUCCUACAAUUGUCAUUAAUUUUUUAGUAACAUGUGGGUAUAGAAUUAAAGAGACCACUACAAUCGAUCAUUUUAAUUUGCUUUGGACUCUUCAGCCUCAAAAUUUUAAUUAAAAUAUGUUUUUUAA